AUUUAGGGGAACUUACUAAGUAAAUGAUAACCACCAAGAAUAUGUACGUUAAGUCACAUUUUACAUACCGUCGUCGUCAGAUCUACUUAGAUAGAAUAUCAAUAUAUUUUUAAAAAUAAAAGGACAGAUCAAGGUGUAGACUAUUUUAACGUUUCAGCGAGUUACAAUAUUUGUUUAUUUCGUAAACUAGUUAUAUAACUAGUUAUAGGAGGACUUAAAAGUAAUAUUUAUAGAAAAUAC
rnacentral:rRNA from 1 species